AAAUUGAAGAGUUUGAUCAUGGCUCAGAUUGAACGCUGGCGGCAGGCCUAACACAUGCAAGUCGAGCGGAAACGACUUAACUGAACCUUCGGGGAACGUUAAGGGCGUCGAGCGGCGGACGGGUGAGUAAUGCCUGGGAAAUUGCCCUGAUGUGGGGGAUAACCAUUGGAAACGAUGGCUAAUACCGCAUAAUGCCUUCGGGCCAAAGAGGGGGACCUUCGGGCCUCUCGCGUCAGGAUAUGC
rnacentral:rRNA from 1 species